rnacentral:rRNA from 1 species
GUUUGAUCCUGGCUCAGAUUGAACGCUGGCGGAAUGCUUUACACAUGCAAGUCGGGCGGCAGCGCGGGGGCAACCUUGGCGGCGAGCGGCGAACGGGUGAGUAACGCAUCGGAACGUACCCUGUCGUGGGGGAUAACUAUCCGAAAGGAUGGCUAAUACCGCAUACGACCUGAGGGGUGAAAGCGGGGGAUCGCAAGACCUCGCGCGAUAGGAGCGGCCGAUGCCGGAUUAGCUAGUUGGUGAGGUAAAGGCUCACCAAGGCGACGAUCCGUAGCUGGUCUGAGAGGACGACCAGCCACACUGGGACUGAGACACGGCCCAGACUCCUACGGGAGGCAGCAGUGGGGAAUUUUGGACAAUGGGGGGCAACCCUGAUCCAGCCAUUCCGCGUGAGUGAAGAAGGCCUC